rnacentral:rRNA from 1 species
CCAGCCAUGCCGCGUGCAGGAUGACGGCCCUAUGGGUUGUAAACUGCUUUUAUACGGGAAGAAAUGCACCUACGUGUAGGUGUCUGACGGUACCGUAAGAAUAAGGACCGGCUAACUCCGUGCCAGCAGCCGCGGUAAUACGGAGGGUCCGAGCGUUAUCCGGAAUCAUUGGGUUUAAAGGGUCCGUAGGCGGGCCUGUAAGUCAGGGGUGAAAGUUUGUGGCUCAACCAUAAAAUUGCCUUUGAUACUGCAGGUCUUGAGUCAUGGUGGGGUUGCCGGAACAUGUGGUGUAGCGGUGAAAUGCAUAGAUAUCACAUAGAACACCGAUCGCGAAGGCAGGUGACCAACCAUGUACUGACGCUGAUGGACGAAAGCGUGGGUAGCGAACGGGAUUAGAUACCCCGGUAGUCCACGCCGUAAACGAUGGAUACUAGCUGUGGGGACUUCGGUCUCCGUGGCCAAGCGAAAGUGAUAAGUAUCCCACCUGGGGAGUACGUUCGCAAGAAUGAAACUCAAAGGAAUUGACGGGGGCCCGCACAAGCGGUGGAGCAUGUGGUUUAAUUCGAUGAUACGCGAGGAACCUUACCAGGGCUUAAAUGCAGGCUGCAUGGGGUGGAGACACCCCUUUCUUCGGACUGCCUGCAAGGUGCUGCAUGGUUGUCGUCAGCUCGUGCCGUGAGGUGUCAGGUUAAGUCCUAUAACGAGCGCAACCCCUACCGUUAGUUGCCAGCAUGUAAAGAUGGGGACUCUAACGGGACUGCCGGUGCAAACCGUGAGGAAGGUGGGGACGACGUCAAAUC